GGCUUUUCCCAAAUGUCCCCCUGCUGAUGCAGAAUGAAAAGAACGGCCUUGGACAAGCUGCUGCUGCAUAAACUGUGUAUUUGGGUCUUGGUGAACGUCAGAAAGCCCUGUUGUCUCUUGGUUUAUUAGGUUUUCACGACUGCCUCUCCCCUGCGCAAAAAACAAGUUAAGAAACUGGUCCCAUGUGAAUAAGGGCCCUGUCUGACCUCUGGGAGUCAACUUUCUGAGUCAGAACUAAGGCGGGCAAGCACUGCAGCCCUUCUCAUCACUAUCCGUACAGAUGAGCUCGAACACCACUUCCGUGGCAGACAUUUAGCUCAGGAAAUGUUAUAGACUACAGAGUAGACUGUGAUCCUCACCGAAUAACUAAAAAGUGCGGUGCUGCACAAGUGCUGAACGUCUUAAGCAGGACACACUUAGUGACUUGCCGCCGAGUGCACAGCACAAGUCCUCUGGCUCUUGCCCUCCUGUGCUCAUGGAGGGAUGCUGGCUUACGGGGUGCAAGCUUGCCAGCAAGACUGAGGCCGAGGCUGAGAGGCCGUGCAGCGCGGCUGGUCAUGGCGCCUGGACAGUGGUCCUGCCUGACCUGAACCCUGACAAGUGUCUUCCGGGCAGAGGACCCUGGGUGUGCUGGUGCUGGGAGAAGGCGCGAGAUGAGGCAGGCGCCAGGGCAAGCUCCAGGAGACCAAGGCGGAUAAGGACCAGCCUCCGAAUUAACCUGUUUCGUGUUCUAUUGUUUCUGUAAAAGUACAUGUUCAUGUUUUGAAAAGGACCCCAACAUUGUAUGUAUUAUUAUAAUACACAAAGGUACAAGGAAGAAAGUGAAAAAUCACUGACCUGUCCUCACUCUGAGAUUACAGCUGUUGCCACUUUGUGGAACAGCCGGCAUCUUUUCGUCCAUACAUAAACUAAACACGUGGACACGUGCAUGUAAACUUUCAUAGGUGGGUUCGUGUUCUGUGACUCCCUCCACUUACAUGCCACUGAUGCGAAUUUGGCCUUUGGGGAGUGUGAGUGAAGGUUUUCUAUAAGAAGGCAGCCAUCAUGGGUGCAUGUUACGAAAAACUAACCACACUGUGUAGUGUGAACAUGAGGCAUUGUAGUGGCCAGAAGACCAAGGAUCCCAGGGCAGCAAUGAUGAUGACAAAA